AACCGCCGUAUGCGGACCCGCUUGUACGGUGGUGUGGGAGGACGGUGGGUGGAUUAAUCACCCACCUCCUACCCGAU
rnacentral:ncRNA from 1 species